rnacentral:rRNA from 1 species
GACGAACGCUGGCGGCGUGCUUAACACAUGCAAGUCGAACGGAAAGGCCUGCUUUCCCUUGUGGAUUGCGGGUACUCGAGUGGCGAACGGGUGAGUAACACGUGAGUGAUCUGCCCCCAACUUGGGUAUAAGCCUGGGAAACUGGGUCUAAUUCCCGAUAGGACUGCAGGGUGGUGCCUGUGGUGGAAAACGAUUUUCUAGUGGUUGGGGAUGAGCUCGCGGCCUAUCAGCUUGUUGGUGGGGUAAUGGCCUACCAAGGCGGCGACGGGUAGCCGGCCUGGGAGGGUGGACGGGCACAUUGGGACUGAGAUACGGCGCAGACUCCUACGGGAGGCAGCAGUGGGGAAUAAGGCACAAUGGGCGGAAGCCUGAUGCAGCGACGCCGCGUGGGGGAUGACGGGCUUCGGGUUGUAAACUCCUUUCGACCGAGAGGAAGCCACCUGGUUGGAAGGGUGGUGACGGUAGUGGUAGAAGAAGCACCGGCUAACUACGUG